UGGUGGGGUGGAGUGAAGAAAGAGAGAUGUUAGUAGAAAAUGAUGGGGAAGGUGGGGGGGAGGGAAGAGGGGGAAGGAAAAGAAGUUAAACCGCGGCCAGUCGUUUAUGACGGAUGAAGCGGCUCUUAUUUCUUCUCCCCACUCCCAAUUCUUGUCUCCACCCACCACCAGUGCCCUUAACUAACUUGCUUACAGUCAAAAUUGCCCGAAGAAGCAAAGCGGAUCUUGAGCAACGGGACUGCCGAAGAAGUUUCCCGCCCCUUCUUCUGCGUCGCUCUAGCCGCGCUUAUAUGUGCGUGCGCGCGUGUGGAUGUGUGUUGGGGGGUGUGAAUUGUCAGCCCUGUUGCAGGGUAAGCACAGCGGAGCCGAGGGUGCAGGGCCCGUAAACCCGAGCGAGAGAAUGAUUCGGAGGGUCAGAGUGACCGUGCGAGUGAGCAGAGCUUGUCGGCCCCACCACGUCAGGAUUUUCGUGGCAAAGAUAGUGCAGGCGCUGUGCCGGGCAUCAGCCAGCAUCAAUCAGGGGACACCGUUCCAAGUCCUGCUGAUAGUGAGGAAAAAACGUCAUCGUGGAAGAUCAGGUCAUGAUGAUGGGCAAUGUACGCCUGGCAGCAAUCCUGUUGCAGUACGGGGCGGAACCCAACACCCCAGACCCGACAACCCUCACCCUGCCAGUCCACGACGCUGCCCGGGAGGGCUUCCUGGACACUCUGAUGCUGCUCCAUCGGGCAGGGGCGCGGCUGGAUGUCAGGGACUCCUGGGGUCGCCUGCCUGUGGACCUCGCAGAGGAACAAGGACACCACCUCGUGGUCGCAUACCUGCGCGAGGUGGUGAGGGACGCCUGAAUGAUACGGUCCAGGAGGCUCAAUAGGAUCUUCCAGGUGAGAACGAAAUGGGGGGGAAAAAAAGUGCGUGUGUGCGGAACCUCCGCCAUUGCUUUUCCUCUCCCCUAGGAGCACCAAGUUAAGUAUGCUAGCUGCCAUUAUACGAGUCUGUAAAGCUUGCAAAUAGCAUUCGUUUUUCACCACAACCAGGGAGGGAGGUUCAGUUGUCCUGAAGUGCAGUAAUGUGUGUCUCCAGCCAGCUUGGAACAAGGUUCCCUGAUUUCAGGUCCAGCAUGAACAAGACUCCUGCCAAACCCUUUAAGACGAAAAAUGGUGUUCUCGGGAAAGCGUUUGCUGUCACAGAGCAGGGAGGUGGCAAGUGCAGGUCGCAGGGAGACACGAAUGUCAGAAAAACAAGUUUGUGAGUGACUAAAAAGUUCAUAUCGCCUUCAGCGUAAUUUACAGGGUGACUGCUGCACAGCUUUACUCCCCUUCCUCCGCGGUGGCCUCCUGAUAAUGCUGAUACUCAGCUACCAAAUCAUUCAAGGUGCUUUCUGCUUCAACGAAUUCCAUGGCAUCCAUGCCCUUUCCGGUGUCCCGGCGUGGGGAAGCCUUUCCGCCAAACAUGGCCGGAAACUGCCCAGAAACGCACUUCCCAGGCUUUUGGGUGGCAACUCUGUUGCCAACGCAGGGGGCAGACCUCUCCUGGCCCCGGGCUGGGAAGUCACGAACGGCCGUUUGGGGUUGGAGAUUCAUUCCCCAAAGGAAUGGCCGUUCUUGUUUUUGGAUAUUGCGCAUCAGCUCCUGUACGUCCUUCGUGGGGGUAUGGCUCUGAGCACCGCGGCGGUCCCGUAGCGCCCGUGCCCAGAUCCCCAGGCAGCCGGGAGAUCUGUAGAGCGUUCAGCAUGACUCAAAGCCCGUCCUAAUGAAGACGGGCUUUUAGAGGCUGUGCGCAGUGAGCCAUCAGUCACCGCGCAGUUUAUUGAGAGAGAAAGGGAAAACCCCGGGGGGAUCCCAGCCGUCCUAGACCCGACCCGGCCCGGCCCGGCCUCAGUGGGAGCCCCCUCGCCGACUCCCACAGAAUUCCGUUAGAACCCUUGUCUAUUAGAGGUUCUAAUGCCCAUGAGCACGCAGAUGGCUGGACGCUGCUCGGGGUUCCAGGAGAGGUUCACGGAAACUGGGAGCAGGGCAGACAUGGACGUCUGAGAGUGUAGCCUGAGAGGGCUCGUCCUAAACCCCUUCUGUGGAGAGGCGUUGGUCGCUUCUGCUAACAGAUAAAUUACAAUGUACUCCGUAACUUGGAAGACGUGCUAAAAAGCUGGAAGAUCGAGAAUUGCCUGGAGCUGCUUGCUCUCCGUCUUCCCAGGAUCAGCUUCAAUACAUUGCCUUGCUUUGCAUAGUGAUUAAAUAAACUUGCUUCUCUCUGAA